GGACAGUUUGCACUUUGAUUGUCCGCAGGUAUGCUUGCACUUAGACAGUUCGCCAAUAUGUUUAGACAAUCCGCCAAUCUUGUCGUGUAAGAACUCUCCGUAUGAUAGUUCGCAUAUUAACAGUCCGCCAGCCGUCUCAUGCUUGGGUCCGCCAUGUGACGUAUGCUUGAACUGUCCGCCAUAUGUAUUCGCCACUGCAUGGUUGGUCAUCUUGCAACACUCUCCUUGACCUCCAUGCUGUGAACUCCAAUGUCAUAUUACUUCAUCUUCCCAAUAGGCUUAGUUAGAAUAUCUGCUAAUUGAUAUGGUGAACUGCAAUGAACCAGUGUUACCUCAUUUGCUUGUUCCACUUCCUCAAAAAAUGAUACUUUGAAUGUUUAUUUUUUUUUAUGGAAUAGUGGAUUCUUUGCAAUUGCAACAGUAGAUUGAUUGUCACAUUUCAUAUCUGUUGCUUCCUCUUGGUAUAUGUUCAAGUCAUUCAAUAACUUUCUUGACCAAAUGGCCUGAUUGACAGGUACAGCACCUGCAACAUAUUCUGCUUCAUAAACUUCACUGCAUAGAUCAAUGUUCCUUUUGGCGGCUUUGUAAUGGAUUACAGUUGUACCGAAUCUGGCUGCAAUUAAGUAAAGCAAGCAUCCAACCAAGCUAGAAAAUCUUUAUAGACAGUUUGUACCGAAUCUUGCCUCACUCAUGCUAGAAAAUCUUUAUAAAUUUUCAAAUUUUGGAAAUGCGAUUGUUGACGAGAGAACAGAUUUUUGAAAUAGGAGCUAAUGAGUAUCCAAAUUGUCUUCUUUUGCAAUCCAAUACCUCUGAUAAUUUUUAAUACAGUUGAUGCCAUUGUUUCGCCCAUGAUUGAUUGUUGUGGCAUUGAAGAAUUAGGUAUUUUGUAUUCAUUUAGUUCAAGAUCUUUGGUACCAGUACCACUCCUCAACUUCCACAAGCUUGUUGAGGUUAAGGGAAAUGAUUUGAUAGAUUGUGAUCAGAUUCGAUUGCAGGCUGGUCGACGAAAGACUUAGUGGGAAGAGGCGGCUCCAAAGCAGAGAGAGAAGUACCAUAUCAGCAGUAAGAACCGUUAUAUGGUUCAAACAAUCUCUACAAGCGGACGGAGGUACAAGAGAGAGAAAAUUUUGAUUUGUGUUUUAAAUGUAGUUUUUUUUUCAGAAAUUCUGUAAUAACACAUGGGUUUGAGUUGGAUUAGAAAUGAAACCAUGUCUGGCAUUAUUGGCCUAUUGAUUAUUA